rnacentral:rRNA from 1 species
GCAUUAUACAGCGAAACUGCGAAUGGCUCAUUAAAUCAGUUAUCGUUUAUUUGAUAGUACCUUACUACUUGGAUAACCGUGGUAAUUCUAGAGCUAAUACAUGCUAAAAACCCCGACUCACGAAGGGGUGUAUUUAUUAGAUUAAAAACCAAUGCCCUUCGGGGCUCUUUGGUGAUUCAUAAUAACUUUUCGAAUCGCAUGGCCUUGCGCCGGCGAUGGUUCAUUCAAAUUUCUGCCCUAUCAACUUUCGAUGGCAGGGUCUUGGCCUGCCAUGGUUACAACGGGUAACGGAGGGUUAGGGCUCGACCCCGGAGAAGGAGCCUGAGAAACGGCUACUACAUCCAAGGAAGGCAGCAGGCGCGCAAAUUACCCAAUCCCGAUUCGGGGAGGUAGUGACAAUAAAUACUGAUACAGGGCUCUUUUGGGUCUUGUAAUUGGAAUGAGUACAAUUUAAAUCCCUUAACGAGGAACAAUUGGAGGGCAAGUCUGGUGCCAGCAGCCGCGGUAAUUCCAGCUCCAAUAGCGUAUAUUAAAGUUGUUGCAGUUAAAAAGCUCGUAGUUGAACCUUGGGCCUGGCUGGCCGGUCCGCCUCACCGCGUGCACUGGUUCGGCCGGGCCUUUCCCUCUGGGGAACCUCAUGGUCUUCACUGAUCGUGAUGGGGAACCAGGACUUUUACUGUGAAAAAAUUAGAGUGUUCAAAGCAGGCCUAUGCUCGAAUACAUUAGCAUGGAAUAAUAAAAUAGGACGUGUGGUUCUAUUUUGUUGGUUUCUAGGACCGCCGUAAUGAUUAAUAGGGACAGUCGGGGGCAUCAGUAUUCAAUUGUCAGAGGUGAAAUUCUUGGAUUUAUUGAAGACUAACUACUGCGAAAGCAUUUGCCAAGGAUGUUUUCAUUAAUCAGGAACGAAAGUUAGGGGAUCGAAGACGAUCAGAUACCGUCGUAGUCUUAACCAUAAACUAUGCCGACUAGGGAUCGGACGGUGUUACUUAUUGACCCGUUCGGCACCUUACGAGAAAUCAAAGUCUUGCU